CAGAGGUCCCAAGCGUUGUUCGGAUUCACUGGGCGUAAAGGGUGCGCAGGUGGGUUUGCAAGUUUGAUGUGAAAGCCCCAGGCUUAACCCGGGAAUGGCAUUGAAUACUGCAGAUCUGGAGGAUUGGAGGGGGGACUGGAAUUCUUGGUGUAGCAGUGAAAUGCGUAGAUAUCAAGAGGAACACCAGUGGCGAAGGCGAGUCCCUGGACAAUACCUGACACUGAGGCACGAAAGCUAGGGGAGCAAACAGGAUUAGAUACCCUGGUAGUCCUAGCUGUAAACGGUGCGCAUUUGCUGUAAACGGAAUCGACCCCGUUUGUGGCGAAGCUAACGCGAUAAAUGCGCCGCCUGGGAAGUACGGUCGCAAGGAUUA
rnacentral:rRNA from 1 species